UCGAGGAUCUUCGGCAAUGGGCGCAAGCCUGACCGAGCGACGCCGCGUGAGCGAUGAAGGCCUUCGGGUCGUAAAGCUCUGUCGGGGGGAAGAAAAGGCAACUUGAUCGACCCCCGGAGGAAGCACGGGCUAAGUUCGUGCCAGCAGCCGCGGUAAGACGAACCGUGCAAACGUUAUUCGGAAUCACUGGGCUUAAAGGGCGCGUAGGCGGGUCGGUAAGUCAGGGGUGAAAGCCCACGGCCCAACCGUGGAAGUGCCUUUGAUACUGCUGACCUCGAGGGGGAUAGGGGCGUGCGGAACUCAGAGUGGAGCGGUGAAAUGCGUAGAUAUUCUGAGGAACACCGGUGGCGAAAGCGGCGCGCUGGAUCCCUACUGACGCUGAGGCGCGAAAGCCAGGGGA
rnacentral:rRNA from 1 species